GUUUUUUACAUUCAAAAAAUAUGAUUGACUUGUCCACAAAAUAUGGUAAGAAAAUUUGUUACUUUUAAAUUAAAGCAUUGUGCAGUAAGAUUUGCUGAAGAACUGAAAUUAGUAUUCUACUAAGAAAUUUGGCUGCAGUCUUACUUUCAGAACACAUACAGAGAUAAUUGGAAAAACUUAUGAUUGGGGAAAUACUUUAAUAACAGUAUGUUAUGAGUGUUGUCUGCAUUUACCCGUGCCUUUCUAUAUUCUUGCUUUUUGUUUUUAAUUGCUUUACUUUUGCUUCAUUAAUAUAAUUUUGUUUCAGAGAGAACCAACAAGUCCAGCAAGCUGAUAAAGUAGCCAGCAACUAAUGAAGCUAACUAUGGACCCUAACUAUGGACCCUAACUAUGAAGUUAACUAACUAAGAGUGAGUUUGGAAGACCCAUUGCAGAGCCCUCCACCCAUCUCCCUACCACUGACCCCCAAUCCCACCACUCUGUGAGUUUGUAUAUUUUGAGCUCCUACUUGCUUACAAGGAAAACGUUCUGGAUAUUGCCUCCUUUGGUUUCAGUGUUGGUAGCAGGUGUAACCUAUCAACUUUGAGAGAUGACUCUCAGGUUCAACCACAGUGUGUUAACAUCUUUGAAGGCAUUCAUCAUGUAUGUAAAAAUCAAGAGUAAAUUCCUUCUAAGAUUAUGUUUCUAAGAUAUUGGAAAGGAACAAAAACUGUAACAUAAAUAAAAACAGGACACUUCAAAAUUGAAAUGCAGAAUUCUGACGGUCCUGUCUAAAUUCAUGUCAUAAGUAGAAUCUGUGCUUAGGAACCACAGUUGUUACCUUGAUAUUUUCUCCUUCUUUCAUCACUCCUAAAAGGCUAUAUGUACUUUUUAUUUUCAUGUCUUCUCCCUAUCCCACCAUAUAAGAUUUUCUUACACUUAUUUACUUUUGAUUUCUCUGUAGUUCACCCUAUGUAAUCUUCUAUACAAUACUAAAUCCCUAUCAGUUCUGCAAAACACAUUUCAUAUUGCUUUAAAGUGUGGUUUUUCUCAAACCCCAGAUGCAGUAAAUGUGAAACACUACGUUGUGUGUAAAUACAAGUCACUACAUUCAUUUGCUUAAGACAACUUAAUUGCUUGCAGAAGCAGCUCCACUUUCAUCUAGGAAAACAAGUUCAAUGAUCAUUGGAAAGUGAGAAUAAAAAAAGAAAUAAUCCAUCACCUGUCUGCCAGUGGCGCUUUCAUAACACCUCUCACCACCAAAGAGUCAAUACUGGAGGGAGGGGUGUCAAAGAGAGUGAGGAUGGUGAACUGACAGCUAAUGUUCCAGUGAAGUUACUGCUGAACCAGAGGUAGAAAAAUAAUACCGAGCAAAAGUUUCAAAUAGGAAACAGCUGCAUGCAAUAGACAGCUCUGAGAGCUUUUGUCACAAUAAAAUGUAUAAAAGGAGAAGACGGUGUUUCUUAGAAUUCUAAGCUUCUAAAGGGAUAAAAUUAGAGAGAUCUGAUAAGCUGUGAAUAAAACAGAAGGCAGUUGACAUUACCCAAGAUUUACAAAAAAAUUUAACAUAUAAGUUGUUAUGAAAAUUCACUACACCUCUUCUCUAACUCAGAAAUGCAUAUGGAGUAUUUAGAAGAGCAAGGUUACAGCAGGAGAAGCAGGUGAGUCUAAUCCCAACCAAACUACAUGGAGAUUUCACAAUUGAGGCAGCAUGGGGUGGACGUUGAUGAGAGAAUCCUAAAGAGUCCUAUAAAUGACCCUAUAUUUUAAGAUCAUCUGCAGAUGUACAGGAGUUUGAGGGAGUAAGGGAACUACAAGAGAAAU
rnacentral:lncRNA from 1 species